UGCCAGCAGCCGCGGUAAUACGGAGGGUGCGAACGUUGCUCGGAAUCAUUGGGCGUAAAGCGCACGUAGGCGGCUUUGCAAGUUGGAUGUGAAAGCCCUGGGCUCAACCCAGGAAGUGCAUCCAAAACUGCAUGGCUCGAGUACCGAAGGGGGCCAGAGAAUUCCCGGUGUAGAGGUGAAAUUCGUAGAUAUCGGGAGGAAUACCAGUGGCGAAGGCGCUGGCCUGGUCGGAAACUGACGCUGAGGUGCGAUAGCGUGGGGAGCAAACAGGAUUAGAUA
rnacentral:rRNA from 1 species